rnacentral:lncRNA from 1 species
AGUCCAGGAAGACCCAUUCUACGUCCCUGGCAUCUUGGAAUGUUAUGUUAUGUUAUGUUAUGUAAGAGAAAGACCAGGACCCAUUCUACGUUCUGGCACUAAUGGAAAUGUAGAGGGCUAUUGGUGACAAAUUCAUCCUUGAUGUGAUUUGUUUGUGAUGUGUUGCAUUUUAUGAAAGCAUGAACUUUUAAUAUAAUGUUUUAUAUUCUGCUCACUGGGCUCUAGUAGCUCACCCCACUCCCUUAAUUCCCCAGGUUUGCAGGUACGGGAUAGACCAGGAGGUCAGCUAGAGUAAAGUUAUGGUCAUGUAAUAGCUAGUGGUGGACAUGAUAAAUGUUGAAAUGUAAUGAAUAGUAUUAAUCAAUUAUGUAAUGUAAUGGAUUGAUGUUUAUGAAAGUUUAGAGUUGUGCUUGACCAUAGUAUGAUGUUAAUCCCUUUCUAGUACAUGAUCUUAAAUGUUUAAUGAUGAUUAUUGUAAACCAAG